rnacentral:lncRNA from 10 species
CCAGGAAGGCCUCCAUUGUGACUCUCACUUUCCUACUGGGUAUCUUCUUUCUCCUCUGAGUGAGCAUUCUUAGUACAGAUGUUGGGUUGCCCAUGCCGGUCCUAUUCGCAGGAGAAAUCCUGCAAAUAGGACCUCAUAAUGGAUCUUCGUAGUGGAUCUCUGCUGCUGAGUGUGGCCUGCUCUCUAACUGAAGGCUAACACUGAAUACAUUUAAAGAAUGUUUUCAUCUAGUGGAUCUCCUGAAGAGGGAUAAGUUGUGUACAGAAGCUUUUCUGCCGUCAUGGCACUUACAAGUUUUCUCUGCUAUAUAAACUACCUGAUGCUGAAUCAAGGCAGACCGAUGAAUCAAGGUUUUACUACACUGAUUCCAGCCAAAGCAUUUCUCUUCCGAAUGUUUUUCAAGAUCAUCAAAAACUCUUGCAUUCUGAGUAAAGCCUUUUCAACAAGUGUUUUUCACUUGUAUUAAGUCUCCAAUGUCGACUAAAAACUGAUCUUUAACAGUUUUUCCACACCCAUCACAUUACAGGGUUUUUCUUUCCACCUGGAUUCCCACUUGACGAAUAAGGCCAUUUUUUGAUCUAAGGGUCUUCCCACACUCUUCACAUAACAGUGGGUGGGCUCAGAGUUUGCUUUCUUUGCUGCUCAGCGAGGUCUGUAUUUGGAGUAAAGGCUCCCCCAUGUACCCCAUGCUGCAAGACUUUCUGUGUUCAGAUGAGCCUCUGAUGCUGAUUAUGUACUAAAUUCUGGAUAACGUUCGUUUUGGAGUCAUUGAGUUUGACUUGUUUCUUAAUCGUGGAGUGUACCUAACUGCUCCUUGAGAUUCUGCAAAAUUUUCCUUUGGGUCUGCCAGAUAGUUCCCUAUGUGGUUCCCUUUCUUCAUGUUUCUUGCUUUGGACACAUAUUUCUGUAUUUGUUUCUAGAAUCACCAUCUGAAGCUACAAAUAGACGAACUAUCCAAGGAAGAACAUAAAUUCAAUGAGUACAAUUCAGAUUUAUGAGGCAAGUAUUUUAGGAUGAGGGUAACAGGGCUUCUGCAUGUAGGAGAGGGAAGUAGUUAGCAAGAAGACUGAUGAAGGUCACUGAAAAAAUGCAAAGCACAAUAGGAAGCCAAUCAAGAUGUGUAGAAGGGACAAUAUUUGAGAGUAAGGAGACAUUGUCUGAAACUUUUGCAGUGGUAAAGUGAUGCAUAUGGGUAAGUGUAGAAAUAUGGACUAAGUGUAUAAAAUCUUUGGAAAAGUAGCCAGUGGUAAGGAGCAGGAAAGGACCGUUAAAGAUGAUGAUUCUGAGGUUGAUUUAUACUCACUAAUAAUGGACAACCAUAAAAAGGGGAUCACAGUAAAUAUGAGAGUAUGUGACAGAGACACUCUAGAAAUAAGCAAGUCAAGGUUUAGUGGAAGUCUUGCUCCAUUUGGGAUACUUAUUAUCCUAAGUCAACAACUGAUGGUGCCCUGGAGUCUCUUUUUAUCUAAGACUUCUUAAAUAGAUCCUUCUCUGCUACUUAGUAUAAGAAAGGAAGUUAAAUAUGUCCAAUAAAAGUAUACUGUGGUUUUGGCAUUUAUUUAAAUGUAUAAAAACAUGUACACAUUUAUUUAAAUGUAUAAAAACAUGUACACAUUUAUUUAAAUGUAUAAAAACAUUGCUUCUCGGCCUUUUGGCUAAGAUCAAGUGUAAAUGUAUAAAAACAUUUACACAUUUAUUUAAAUGUAUAAAAAACAUAAAGAAUAUGUAAUUUGGCCAGGGGCAGUGGUUCAUUCCUGUAAUCCUAGCCCUUUGGGAGGCCAUGGUGGGCAGAUCGCUUGAACCCAGGAGUUCGAGACCAACCUGGGCAAUAUAGCGAGACCUCGUCUCUACAAAAAAUACAAAAAAAUUAGCCAGGCGUGGUGGCGCCUACCUGUAUUCCACAGUGUAUAUUUGCCACAUUUUCUUUAUUCCACCACUGAUGGCCAUCUAGGUUGAUUCCAUGGAGCAUGGGGUACAUGGGGGAGCCUUUACUUCCAUUUUUGCUAUUGUGUAUAGUGCUGUGAUGAACAUGUAAGUGCAUAUAUAUUUUUGGUAGAAUGCUUUAUUUUCCUCUGGGUACAUAACCCAGUAGUGGGAUUGCUGGGUUGAAUGGUAGUUCUUUGAGAAGUCGCCAAACUGCUUUCCACAGUGGCCGAACUGUGUAUAAGCAUUCCUUUUUCUCCUCAGCCUCACCAGCAUCUCUUAUUGUUUGACUUUUUAAUAACAACCAUUCUGACUGGUGUAAGAUGGUUCUCAUUGUGGUUUUUAUUUGCACUUCUCUGAUGAUUAGUGAUGUUGCACAUUUUUUCAUAUGUUUGUUGGAUGCUUGUAUGUCUUCUUUUGAGAUGCGUCUGUUCAUGUGAUUUGCCCAUUUUUUAAUGGGGUUGUUUUUUGCAUGUUGAAUUGUUUGUUUUCCUUAUAAAUUCUGGAUAUCAGAUCUUUGCUGGAUGCAGAUUGCAAGUAUUUUUUUUUCAUUUUGUAGUCUAUUUACCUGUUAAUAAUUUCUUUUACUGUGAAGAAGCUUUUUAGUUUAAUUAGGUCCCACUUAUCAAUUUUCAUUUUUGUUGAGAUUGCUUUUAAGGACUUUAUCAUAAAUUCUUUCCCAAGGCUGAUGUCCAGAAUGCCAUUUCCUAGGUUUUCUU